CCCUAGCCCUUCAGAGGGGGACAACAGUUGGAAACGACUGCUAAUACCGCAUACGAUCCAAUCUCGGCAUCGAGACUGGAUGAAAGGUGGCCUCUAUUUAUAAGCUAUCACUGAAGGAGGGGAUUGCGUCUGAUUAGCUAGUUGGAGGGGUAACGGCCCACCAAGGCGAUGAUCAGUAGCCGGUCUGAGAGGAUGAACGGCCACAUUGGGACUGAGACACGGACCAA
rnacentral:rRNA from 1 species